UACGAAGGGGGCUAGCGUUGCUCGGAAUUACUGGGCGUAAAGGGCGUGUAGGCGGUUCGUCAAGUCGGGUGUGAAAGCCUGGGGCUCAGCCCCAGAAGUGCGCCCGAUACUAGCGAGCUAGAGCGCGAUAGAGGAGGGUGGAAUUCCUGGUGUAGCGGUGAAAUGCGUAGAUAUCAGGAGGAACACCGGCGGCGAAGGCGGCCCUCUGGAUCGUUGCUGACGCUGAGACGCGAAAGCGUGGGGAGCAAACAGG
rnacentral:rRNA from 1 species